CUUGAUCGAGCCGAGCCACAGCGGUUCGGCGCGGUCCCGGCCAUAGGUGGCGAGUAGGGCCUGUGCCUC
rnacentral:antisense_RNA from 1 species